rnacentral:rRNA from 1 species
AACGAACGCUGGCGGCAGGCCUAACACAUGCAAGUCGAACGCAUCUUUCGGGGUGAGUGGCAGACGGGUGAGUAACGCGUGGGAAUCUACCCUUCUCUACGGGAUAGCUCCGGGAAACUGGAAUUAAUACCGUAUACGUCCUGAGGGAGAAAGAUUUAUCGGGGAAGGAUGAGCCCGCGUUGGAUUAGCUAGUUGGUGGGGUAAAGGCCUACCAAGGCGACGAUCCAUAGCUGGUCUAAGAGGAUGAUCAGCCACAUUGGGACUGAGACACGGCCCAAACUCCUACGGGAGGCAGCAGUGGGGAAUAUUGGACAAUGGGCGCAAGCCUGAUCCAGCCAUGCCGCGUGAGUGAUGAAGGCCCUAGGGUUGUAAAGCUCUUUCAGUGGGGACGAUAAUGACGGUACCCACAGAAGAAGCCCCGGCUAACUUCGUGCCAGCCGCCGCGGUAA